rnacentral:sRNA from 1 species
GAGAAGGAGUUUAAUUCUUUAAUUGAAACAUACCAGAUAUUACGUGAUAUUAAGGCAGAAAUUCAUAAUAUAAGACUCACUGCUAUACUAGAAGGCCAAGCGAGCGAUAAUGAAAGGAGUCAUAAC